CUACUCUCGGCAACGGAUAUCUUGGCUCUCGCAUCGAUGAAGAACGCAGCGAAAUGCGAUACUUGGUGUGAAUUGCAGAAUCCCGUGAACCAUCGAGUCUUUGAACGCAAGUUGCGCCCGAGGCUAUCCGGCCGAGGGCACGC
rnacentral:rRNA from 1 species